rnacentral:rRNA from 1 species
AUACGUAGGGGGCGAGCGUUGCUCGGAUUUACUGGGCGUAAAGGGGGCGUAGGCGGCCCUGCAAGUCGGCGGUGAAAUCCCUCGGCUCAACCGAGGAAUUGCCUCCGAAACUGCAGGGCUUGAGGGCAGGAGAGGGGGGCGGAAUUCCCGGUGUAGCGGUGAAAUGCGUAGAUCUCGGGAGGAACACCGGAGGCGAAGGCGGCUCCCUGGACUGUCCCUGACGCUGAGGCCCGAAAGCCAGGGGAGCAAACGGGAUUAGAAACCCCAGUAGUCC